CCACUUGACGCUGUACUUCAGGGAUGUCAAACUCUAUUUCACUAAGGGCCACACUGGAAAAUGAGAAUCACAUCAAGGGCCAGACAUGUAUAGUUUAUUGACAUGCUUUUAUAUAGUCGAAAGAGUCAAAUGUCUUUGAAUGUAUUAUUACAUGUCUCAAAUAGCUUUCUUACUUACAGUUUGUUCCACAUAAAACCC